AGGUGCUUCGAGGCAUCGACCUGGAGAUCCGCAGCGGCAAGCUGGCCGCGGUGGUCGGCAUGGUCGGGUCCGGCAAGUCGUCGCUGCUCGGCUGCAUCCUCGAUGGGAUGCGCAAGGUCUCCGGUAAGGCUACAGAAAGGUUGGAAGUAGCCUACCCAACAAUAAAGGAGCUGGCUCUUGUUAGUGCUCUAAGGCUGUGAAGCAAGCAUCGCAAUAGCUUUUGUCGUUGGCUGUGAAGGCAAUUCAAGAAAAUAAUGCAAAGCUUGACAAGGAGGCAACUGAUGUGUUCAGUUGGUGCCUGACUCAGAGUCCAAAGUCCUACAAGCUGUGGGACAAGCUUCAUGCAGAGAAUACCCAAGCUACAAUUUACUCCAAUUCACAUGUUUUGAAUUCUUCAAUCUUGAAUUGUUUAAUGACGAUAGCUAUCUUGCACCGUACUAUAAAAUCAUGGAUGGGCAACUAGCUGAUUGUCAGUCAUGGAAAUUC